GCGGAGGAAGGAAUGGGCAACGGUAGGUCAGUAUGCCCCGAAUAUCCCGGGCUACACGCGAGCUACAAUGGUUGGUACAAUGGGUAUCUACCCCGAAAGGGGACGGAAAAUCUCCUAAAACCAAUCUUAGUUCGGAUUGAGGGCUGCAACUCGCCCUCAUGAAGCUGGAAUCCGUAGUAAUCGCGUUUCAACAGAACGCGGUGAAUACGUCCCUGCUCCUU
rnacentral:rRNA from 1 species